rnacentral:rRNA from 1 species
UACAGAGGGGGCAAGCGUUGUUCGGAAUUACUGGGCGUAAAGGGCGCGUAGGCGGCCUGCUAAGUCGAACGUGAAAUCCCCGGGCUCAACCCGGGAACUGCGUCCGAUACUGGCAGGCUUGAAUCCGGGAGAGGGAUGUGGAAUUCCAGGUGUAGCGGUGAAAUGCGUAGAUAUCUGGAGGAACACCGGUGGCGAAGGCGGCAUCCUGGACCGGCAUUGACGCUGAGGCGCGAAAGCCAGGGGGAGCAAACGGGG